rnacentral:lncRNA from 1 species
GGUUUUUCAACAAUCUGUUUCAGCUUACUCAGACAACUUGGUGAUUCUCUAGCUCUUGUAACAAAACAACUGAUAUCAAUGAACAUUGCAAAACACAUUUUUUAAAAACUAUCAAAAUUUUAUUUUCAAGAUUGGAGAAUAAGGAAAAUAUAAUAUUUAUACCCCUUUUGUUGCAAUAUGAAAAUCUAUUUUAUCUCAUAAAAGCUGAGGAUGCCCGUUCAAACAUUCUCUGAGCACAUAACAUACAAUUGUACCCUCAGAUUGGGCUUUUCUUAAAACCAUGAUCAUCUGAUCCAAUCCAGAGCAUGCCAUUGGUAGCAAAGUGGGAGCCGUCUACCGGGUGCAGGCCAUAAGCGAGUUCACCAACUGGAAGGAAUUUAAAUCCAUCAAAAGCCUGGCCCAGGCCGGGUACAGUGACUCACGCCUGUAAUCCUAGCACUUAGGAAGGCUGAGG